rnacentral:rRNA from 1 species
GCAAGUCGAACGAUCGAUGCCCAGCUUGCUGGGUGGAUUAGUGGCGAACGGGUGAGUAACACGUGAGUAACCUGCCCCUGACUCUGGGAUAAGCGUUGGAAACGACGUCUAAUACUGGAUAUGAUCACUGGCCGCAUGGUCUGGUGGUGGAAAGAUUUUUUGGUUGGGGAUGGACUCGCGGCCUAUCAGCUUGUUGGUGAGGUAAUGGCUCACCAAGGCGACGACCGGUAGCCGGCCUGAGAGGGUGACCGGCCACACUGGGACUGAGACACGGCCCAUACUCCUACGGGAGGCAGCAGUGGGGAAUAUUGCACAAUGGGCGAAAGCCUGAUGCAGCAACGCCGCGUGAGGGAUGACGGCCUUCGGGUUGUAAACCUCUUUUAGUAGGGAAGAAGCGAAAGUGACGGUACCUGCAGAAAAAGCACCGGCUAACUACGUGCCAGCAGCCGCGGUAAUACGUAGGGUGCAAGCGUUGUCCGGAAUUAUUGGGCGUAAAGAGCUCGUAGGCGGUUUGUCGCGUCUGCUGUGAAAUCCCGAGGCUCAACCUCGGGCUUGCAGUGGGUACGGGCAGACUAGAGUGCGGUAGGGGAGAUUGGAAUUCCUGGUGUAGCGGUGGAAUGCGCAGAUAUCAGGAGGAACACCGAUGGCGAAGGCAGAUCUCUGGGCCGUAACUGACGCUGAGGAGCGAAAGCAUGGGGAGCGAACAGGAUUAGAUACCCUGGUAGUCCAUGCCGUAAACGUUGGGCGCUAGAUGUAGGGACCUUUCCACGGUUUCUGUGUCGUAGCUAACGCAUUA